UACGUAGGGGGCAAGCAUUGUUCGGAAUGACUGGGCGUAAAGGGUGCGUAGGCGGUGUAGCAAGUUAGAAGUGAAAUACCUAGAGCUUAACUCAGGUGCUGCUUCUAAAACUGCUAUACUUGAGUGCAGUAGAGGAAAGUGGAAUUCCUAGUGUAGCGGUGGAAUGCGUAGAUAUUAGGAGGAACAUCAGUGGCGAAGGCGACUUUCUGGACUGUAACUGACGCUGAGGCACGAAAGUGUGGGGAGCAAACAGG
rnacentral:rRNA from 1 species